rnacentral:rRNA from 1 species
AACGAACGCUGGCGGCAUGCCUAACACAUGCAAGUCGAACGAGACCUUCGGGUCUAGUGGCGCACGGGUGCGUAACGCGUGGGAACCUGCCCUUAUGUUCGGAAUAACUCCCCGUAAGGGGUGCUAAUACCGGAUAAUGUCUUCGGACCAAAGAUUGAUCGCCUUUGGAUGGGCCCGCGUUGGAUUAGCUAGUUGGUAGGGUAAAAGCCUACCAAGGCGACGAUCCAUAGCUGGUCUGAGAGGAUGAUCAGCCACACUGGGACUGAGACACGGCCCAGACUCUUACGGGAGGGAGCAGUGGGGAAUAUUGGAAAAUGGGCGAAAGAAUGAUCCAGCAAGGGCGCGUGAGUGAUGAAGGCCUUAGGGAUGUAAAGCUCGUUUACCCGGGAUGAUAAUGACAGUACCGGGAGAAUAAGCUCCGGCUAACUCCGUG